rnacentral:rRNA from 1 species
GUCCACGCCGUAAACGAUGAGUACUAGGUGUUGCGGGUAUUGACCCCUGCAGUGCCGCAGCUAACGCAUUAAGUACUCCGCCUGGGAAGUACGGUCGCAAGACUAAAACUCAAAGGAAUUGACGGGGGCCCGCACAAGCGGUGUAGCAUGUGGUUUAAUUCGACGCAACGCGCAGAACCUUACCCGGUCUUGACAUCUACGGAACCCUCCCGAAAAGGAGGGGUGCCUUUCGGGGAGCCGUAAGACAGGUGCUGCAUGGCUGUCGU